UAAUAUGAAAACAAGUAAAGCCUCUGUUUCAGCUUGGGGUUUAUUUAUUUAUUUAUUUAAAUUGAAUCUUGAAUCUAUUUUUAAUCUUUAGCAUUCUUCUGGCUUCCAGAUUUCAAGAAGGUUGAAAGAUGCCUUGUUGCCUUAUUCUCCAGGGCUGGUAUCUUCUUACUCAGAAAGCCAAGGAGGGGGACUCAUAAUGUCUUCAAUUUAGAGCUGUAUCUUUGCUUAAAAUUCACAUGAAGUUCUUUGCUAAAGUUCUGGCAACAAAGUUGGAGAAACUUAAUGCCUAAGUUGUUUUAGCUGAUCAAACAACAUUUGGAAUUCUCUCUGAAUCCUAAAACUUUGGAAAGUUGUUAGUUUGUGUUAUCCCGAAUCAGUCAAACUCCUUUCACUUUCCUGGAAUCUCUGUGGGCUGAAUUACUUGAAUGUUUUUACUCUUGCAGACAUCUGCAUUCUGCCAUGGAGAUAAAUGUGAGAAAAUUCUAUUUGUAUUUUACUGCUUCAGAAGAGUUCGCUGUAAGACACUCUACAACAGACAAAGUCAACUACCAGAGGUGGGGAUUUCAGACAACAUCUUUUAAUGUGGCUGUGAAUAGAAAGAAAAGAGGAGAAAUUCUGAACCCGGCUCUAGGUGAUCUCAAAGAAAAAUACCAAAGGGGAAUUCAGGGACCAAAGGUUUACUUUAUCAGAGCACUGAGGCUGUAAUAGGAAGAUAGGAGUAAUCACCUCCAAGAUUUCUGUCACCUCAAUCAACCUUCAAGGGAAAAUCAUCACAAGAGAGCGUCUGAGGCUCAUGAAGAUGUGAGUGAUAACAUGAGGUGGUCAUAAGGCAAGAGUCAUGUGUCUCCAGACAUCUUCCAAAUGGACUGAGAGCUGUUGUUGCUUCUUCUGAUCUCCUGAGCCACUUCCAAUCCAGAUGGGAAACAGAAGAACAUGGAGAUUUUGCAAUUUGAGCUGAGCCAGGCAGGAGCUCUUUGGCAGAAGAAGAGGCCUCCCGAGGGAUAAAUACAAUCCAGAAGAUGACUGCAGAGGGAAAUGUGACCUGCAGCAUGCACAAUCUCCACUGUGAAACAAACUGCUGCUGGACCUGUACACCUCUUUAGUUCCCACGCCACAUAACAACUGCACUGGGCUAGGAUGCUCCGUGGAAGACAGCAUCUUGUAAAAGCAGUCGGGGUCUACCAGAAAACACCACAAUAAACACCACAAAACACAAGAAGGAGUCCGCCAGCUGCAGAAAGCCAACAGCGGGAUCAAAAGAGAAAUGUCCCAGGUACAAACAAGACACACGGCUGUUCGCACCACUGAAGUGGGAAGGGAAGAAAACGUGAAGAUUUAGCCCAGUUCUGUUGGCAUCAAGUGGACAUGUUUAUUACAUCUGGCAGAGAGCCUUGUCAAAACGAUGAAGUAGCAGGAAUCUCCUUGGAGAGCAAUGUAUCACAACAUUUUUGAAGAUUAUUUCCAAAUCGAAGAUGACUUCCAAAGAACAGCAAGGAUGUAAUCUUGGAGCCAAUCAAACCAAUGGCAAAAAUCCCACUUUCUGCAUGAUUUUAAUGGAGCCUCUGAAAUUUUGGAGCUUCACAUGUUAUGGUUAAAAGGUAUUGUCCAAAUUUAGCAUCUGUGAGCCUUACAGAGGCAUGACCCUAAGAAGAAGUGAUGAAAAAUGCCUAUUUUAAAAACAAAUAACCCUAUUUAUAAUGACACCAAAGGGAAAGUGGAGAAUUCAGUAUUUACUACUGACACCUGCCACUUGCAAAAUCUCUCCACUGCUCGAAACAAGUAUUUGUGAGAGUUUGGAAAAUUUUGAUCACUCAUUUUUUCCUCCUUUGCUUCCAUUUUGCUCACUGGUAGGGCUGUCCAAUAACAGCACUGACGUUGCUGAAAUGUCAUGAUGAACUUUGCUCAUGUACUAGUUCCAGGUGAGAUGGGAGUAGUUACAGUUCUUAACAAAACAAAACAAAAGAAGUAUUUGCCAAUGUUUUUGGAUAUAGUUGUUAUGUCCCAGGCACAGAGAUUAGUCAGAGCGUCCAUAAAUAUCACUGUCACUGAAAUCUGAUAUCCAAACCCUUCACUCCAAAUGCCCACCAGCUGUCAAAACCCUGCUGAGCUUUGGCCAUUGGGCUGUAAACUCCUUCUGGGUUUUGCUCCGUGCCUGGUGCAAUGGCUGAGGGUCUCUGCCAAUGCAGUAGGGCGAGCAUUUCAGGAGGGAAAGCAAAAGGCACAUCCUACACAGUGGAUUGCCUGGUGGGAAAAAGCUCCCAUUGUGUAUCAUAUUGCACAGUCCACCUCCCAGGCUUCAUUCCUGCUGUUAGCUUCUGGUCCCUGGAGUACAGGAGGGUCAGUGUAGAAGGUUACAGAGUAGCUGUGGAGGCUGGUGUGCCAGCCAGUACAAGAUCAUGAAUGGUCAGGUUAAAUUUUGCUCUUUCUUGAGUACUCUAUUAGAAACUGAGCUAAACAGUGUCUUGGUCCCAACACAUAUAGAAGUUUUAAUGCUAUCACAUAAAGAAAAAUCCAGUUUCUCUGAGAAAGCUUGAGACAAAAGAGCCAACCCAAGAUAUUUAUCAUUUUACACUAAAUUCAUGCAAACAAAAACAACGCUCUUUACAGUAAAUCUAUUGCUGAGUUUUACUAGAAUUAACUGAUACUCCUACUUGCUUAAUAUCUAGCUGGUAGGCUUGGUGAAGGUUUUUUUUCCAUAGAUGUAUUUUGGUGAAGGAGAAGGCGUUCUUCAAUGGAUUAAAAUGUUUUGCAUCCAGAAAUGUUCCAUUUCUUUGAAAGGUUUAGAGUUUUCAGUAGGAAAAAAGCUAAGAACAGCAGCUGAAUUAUUUUGAGUACGAAUUUUCUUCAGUAUUCCACUCACACAUCACCUCAAAACACUACAGAAAUAGCAUAUUAACUGAAGCAAAUUGAAGCAAAAUCCAUUCAUAUCAUCAACAGAUUUUCUAGGGGAGAGAAGUAGACCUUAGUUACUUUCAUCAUUUACUACUUGUGCUUAAAGCUGGCUUUAAUCCAGCUCUGAAUUCCACAGGUGGAUGCUCUGCAGCAUCCCAGAACCACAUGAGUCUGGUCUCUGAGUUGAAUUCAUACAUGGAGCAGACCGUGUCAACUCAACACUAUGCGUUAGUAAUAAUGAUAUGUUUAGAGCCUAUUGGAACCUAUAUAAACUCCAAAUUAGCUCAGCUGAGCUGGAAAUACCACCAACAAUGAUUGUCUUAGAGAGAGCAGCAGAAAUGUUACCUGAACCAGUGAUUGAGCACCUGGUAGGAAGGCAGGGCCAAUCCAGAGGAGCU